CCAGAGGUAAACGGGUGGCUCCGCAAAGUCGUCCCUCGGAAUUCAGCGCGGCGAGCGGCCUCGGGGCUGUCGGUGGCGGAGAUCCCUGGUGACUCUGCCCCGGCGCCGCGCCGGGCUCCGCCGCGUGCACUUUCCGGGCGGGCGAGCGCCACGACCGGUUUCCGGGCAGCGAGAAGCCCAGGGUGGGAAGGUAGGCGCGGGACUCUCGCGAGCUCCGCGCUGUUAUAGCCCCCCUGGGGAGCCGCCUGCCGUUGGGGACCGAGGAACGGCCGCGUCCGACUGGGGGCCGCCCGGCCGGCGCGGGGAGUUUUUCGACCGGCGGGGACUGGGCAACCGUGCCCGCCGACCGCUCCUCGUGCUUCGGCCCGG
rnacentral:rRNA from 1 species